rnacentral:rRNA from 1 species
AGGAAGCACCGGCUAACUCCGUGCCAGCAGCCGCGGUAAUACGGGGGGUGCUAGCGUUGUUCGGAAUUAUUGGGCGUAAAGAGCGUGUAGGCGGCUGGAUAAGUCAGAUGUGAAAGCCCUGGGCUUAACCCAGGAAGUGCAUUUGAAGCUAUCCGGCUUGAGUAGGGGAGAGGAAAGUGGAAUUCCUGGUGUAGAGGUGAAAUUCGUAGAUAUCAGGAGGAACACCGGUGGCGAAGGCGACUUUCUGGCCCUAUACUGACGCUGAGACGCGAGAGCGUGGGUAGCAAACAGGAUUAGAUACCCUGGUAGUCCACGCUGUAAACGAUGUUCACUAGGUGUUGGGGGUAUUGACCCUCUCAGUGCCGCAGCUAACGCA